rnacentral:rRNA from 1 species
AGGACGAACGCUGGCGGCGUGCCUCAGACAUGCAAGUCGAACGAGAACCUCCCUUCGGGGAGGGGACAGUGGCGCACGGGUGAGUAACACGUGGGUAAUUUACCUUUGGGUGGGGAACAACAGCCGGAAACGGCUGCUAAAUACCGCAUAAUGCAGCGGCUCGACAUCGAGACAGUUGUUAAAGCGGGGAUCGCAAGACCUCGCGCCUAAAGAGAAGCCCGCGGCAGAUUAGCUAGUUGGUAGGGUAAUGGCCUACCAAGGCGACGAUCU